rnacentral:rRNA from 1 species
AGUAAUGCGUGACCAACCUGCCCCAUGCUCCAGAAUAGCUCUUGGAAACGGGUGGUAAUGCUGGAUGCUCCAACUUGACGCAUGUCUUGUUGGGAAAGUGUUUAGUGGCAUGGGAUGGGGUCGCGUCCUAUCAGCUUGUAGGCGGGGUGAUGGCCCACCUAGGCUUCGACGGGUAGCCGGCCUGAGAGGGCGGACGGCCACAUUGGGACUGAGAUACGGCCCAGACUCCUACGGGAGGCAGCAGAG